AGGGGCUCCAAUUGGGAAACCAGAUGCUGCUUCCGGACCAAAAAAACGCUUAAGAAUUUUGGCAGCCUCAAGAGGUCAGAGCUGGAGGCUGCAAUGUGUGGACAGUGCUGUGGCUUAGUGGCUCAUGGUACUGUGCUCUCUGUAGAGAAUUGUCCUGGAACCAAAAACGGAUUUGUGCCUUGCGGGCUCUGGUUCCCUGCUUGUCCCAGGUUCCAGAGUUGGAACAAGCUCUCCAUCUUCCUUCCCAGCCUUUUGCAGGGUUGUCACCUUGGAAUGAAAGGUGUAUUGCUUCCUCCAAAAAAUAGCAGGGAGCUAGGAGUAGCAGCGGUGUGAAUAGUGUAUGAAUCGGCUUACUUAUUACCCUUUCGUGUUUCACAAAGUCAACCCCCCUUUUUGUCUUGCGAUUUGCUUCCAUCUACCCAGAAUCGGCGUCCCCCCUCCCCCCGCCCUGCCCAUGUUUUUUAUUUAUCUGUGGUAAAUUAGUGAGUUUAAAAAAAAAUGUUGGAAAACUAGAUCAUUUUAGUGUUUAUUGAAAGGGGAUAUAAUAAAAACAGGGUAGUCCCAGCUUAGAGAAGAAAACUGUAAUCAGAAUCACAGUGAUAAGAUGAAGGCCAAAACUAGCCAAAGGGUACAACUUUGGAAGGACUGAAGGCCAGCGGCCGUCAGAGAUGGCAGUGGGUCCAGGAGACGACUCUCCACAGCUCCAGAAGCCACGUGAUCAGUGUUUUUCCAAACUGGUAUGGAAAGGUAAAUGUUAAUAUCCAGCAAAACAUGUGAUAUGCAUUCUGGAAAACCUAGCUAGCGGAAGCCUCCCCGAGAUCAGCGGCUGUGUGUGCUGUGUGUGCUGACCAAUGUGCUUCCUUCUGUGGGGGCAGGAUGAUAGGAAAAGUAUUUAUAUUUGCAAACAGUAGGUUUUUAUUUGUUUGUUUUGAGACAAGGUUUUUCUACAUAGCUCUAACUGUCCUGGAACUCACUAUGUCAACCAGGCUGGCCCUCAGGAAAAAGAAGGGAUCUGGGUGGAGUGGGCAAAUCCUGCAGAUGGUCACAUGAUUUCACCCCUGUGAAGGACGGGUAGAAUAGGGAGGGAGGGUCUUGGUCUGAAACCCAGAUCUAAGGAUGUUGUGGCCAGUAAGGGGGAGCCCCUGAGGCAAGCAGUCAGUGCUCACAGGGCCUGUACUUACUGGAGGCUGGGAGGGGCACUGCCUUAUUCAGGCCGCUAUGGAUUCAGAGCCAGGCUGGGACUAGCUAUCUCCACAGCAGGGGACCAACACAGCACAGUUUUGAAGGCUGCCACUUUGCUUACCUAGAGCUAGCAGUCUCAAGGGGAGACAGGCAAUCAAUAAUGACGUUGGUGUUCCCUGAUGUGCAGAUGUCACUAGGACCAAGAAGCAGAAGAGGUCCUGUCAUGUAACAACCACAGAAGGUUAACUGCUGGCCACAUUCGGAGGAGCUUCACUGAGAGUUCUUGCAUGUGUCAACCUGCUGCCGGCCAAGACCAGCUGCCACAGAGAUGCCACCACUGAAGCCAUCUUAGACCAGCCAGAUCCUUGCCCAGCUGGCAGGUGGCCACAGGCCUGACAGCUAGCUGGGCAGAGAACAGAAGAGCUAACCAUCACGGCCAGGCACAGGAUCCUGCAUCGAGUAAAUGGUUGUUAUUUUAAAAACGUCA